UGAUAGAGGUGCGAAAUCCAUAAGUAGCGCAUUAAAAUGCCCGGAUAGGCUUAUGUGUAAAAGGGGAUUUCGCCGAAAUGAAGUUUCAGGUAUCCGCCGGAACUUUGUUGGGCCGUUGCAAAAUAUGUAACGGACUGUCACUAAGCAUUAGUGGAGCGCUAUUGA
rnacentral:ncRNA from 1 species